UUAAGAUCCUACUCAACUUCC
rnacentral:siRNA from 1 species